rnacentral:tRNA from 2 species
GGGAUGGAGCAGUCUGGUAGCUCGUCGGGCUCAUAACCCGAAGGUCGUCGGUUCAAAUCCGGCUCCCGCAACCA